AGCGAACGCUGGCGGCAGGCCUAACACAUGCAAGUCGAACGAACUCUUCGGAGUUAGUGGCGGACGGGUGAGUAACACGUGGGAACGUGCCUUUUGGUUCGGAAUAACUCAGGGAAACUUGUGCUAAUACCGAAUGUGCCCUUCGGGGGAAAGAUUUAUCGCCAUUAGAGCGGCCCGCGUCUGAUUAGCUAGUUGGUGAGGUAACGGCUCACCAAGGCGACGAUCAGUAGCUGGUCUGAGAGGAUGACCAGCCACACUGGGACUGAGACACGGCCCAGACUGCUACGGGAGGCAGCAGUGGGGAAUCUUGCGCAAUGGGCGAAAGCCUGACGCAGCCAUGCCGCGUGAAUGAUGAAGGUCCUAGGAUUGUAAAAUUCUUUCACCGGGGACGAUAAUGACGGUACCCGGAGAAGAAGCCCCGGCUAACUUCGUG
rnacentral:rRNA from 1 species